rnacentral:rRNA from 1 species
GACGAACGCUAGCGGCGCGCUUAACACAUGCAAGUCGAGCGGAAAGGCCCCUUCGGGGGUACUCGAGCGGCGAACGGGUGAGUAACACGUGAGCAACCUGCCCCUGGCUCUGGGAUAACCCCGGGAAACCGGGGCUAAUACCGGAUACCCACACACCAUCGCAUGUCGGUGUGUGAAAAGUUUUUCGGCUGGGGAUGGGCUCGCGGCCUAUCAGCUAGUUGGUGGGGUAACGGCCCACCAAGGCUUCGACGGGUAGCCGGCCUGAGAGGGCGACCGGCCACACUGGGACUGAGAUACGGCCCAGACUCCUACGGGAGGCA